rnacentral:rRNA from 1 species
CAUUACCUACGGGGCGCAGCAGUAGGGAAUCUUCCACAAUGGACGAAAGUCUGAUGGAGCAACGCCGCGUGAGUGAAGAAGGGUUUCGGCUCGUAAAGCUCUGUUGGUAAUGAAGAAAGAUAGAGGUAGUAACUGGCCUUUAUUUGACGGUAAUUACUUAGAAAGUCACGGCUAACUACGUGCCCGCAGCCGCGGUAAUACGUAGGUGGCAAGCGUUUUCCGGAUUUAUUGGGCGUAA